UACGGGGGGAGCAAGCGUUGUUCGGAUUCAUUGGGCGUAAAGGGUGCGUAGGUGGCGGGGUAAGUCAGGUGUGAAAUCUCGGGGCUCAACCCCGAAACUGCACUUGAUACUGCCUUGCUCGAGUACUGGAGAGGAGAUUGGAAUUUACGGUGUAGCAGUGAAAUGCGUAGAUAUCGUAAGGAAGACCAGUGGCGAAGGCGAAUCUCUGGACAGUUACUGACACUGAGGCACGAAGGCCAGGGGAGCAAACGGG
rnacentral:rRNA from 1 species